CUACGGGGGGCAGCAGUGGGGAAUAUUGGGCAAUGGGCGCAAGCCUGACCCAGCAACGCCGCGUGAGGGAAGAAUGUCUUCGGAUUGUAAACCUCUGUCCUUGGGGACGAAAAAAAUGACGGUACCCAAGGAGGAAGCUCUGGCUAACUACGUGCCAGCAGCCGCGGUAAUACGUAGGGAGCAAGCGUUGUCCGGAAUUAUUGGGCGUAAAGGGUGCGUAGGCGGCGCUGUAAGUCAGAUGUGAAAUCCCCGGGCUUAACUCGGGAGUUGCAUUUGAAACUACAGUGCUUGAGUAAAGAAGGGGUAAGUGGAAUUCCUAGUGUAGCGGUGGAAUGCGUAGAUAUUAGGAGGAACACCAGUGGCGAAGGCGACUUACUGGUCUUUUACUGACGCUGAGGCACGAAAGCGUGGGGAGCAAACAGGAUUAGAUACCCCUGUAGUC
rnacentral:rRNA from 1 species